GUGGCGUUGUUCUUUUGUAGUAGUUGUUGCUAUUGCUGCCGCCUGCUGAAUAAAUAUAUGGAUAGCUAAGAGGCAUAGUCGUCAGUAAACCACGGUAGCGGUUGCCUCAUCAGUCGCAGAAUUCCAGUGAAUUCCUCUUGUACAACAGAUGUCCUAUUUACAGAAAUGUGCGCUGAAGUACAUGUUGGUAACCGCAGUGGCCGCCUGGUUGACUAAAUACCUGGAUUGUCGUUAAAAGUGAAAGUUUAUGAUUUGAUCAUCAUGGAUGAUGUAUAAAGAGCUCUUGAGCCAGUAUCAAAUACUCAGCGUUUACGCUCGUCGUCGCUUCAUCGCCAUUAUAGCGACAUCAGUAGCGCGGAUUGGCGACGCAACAGGGUUAUCGGCAGCAACGACAGACGGAUCUAAUAAAAAGCAAACCUUCACACACAGGCGACACUGACCGUGGUAAUAGCAUGCACUCAAAGAGAGGGAUCGUGGAAAAGAGUCGCCUACCAAAAGCGAAGACAGAUUAUAGUAAUCCGGGUCACGUUCGGCGCAGAUUCGCCACCGAGGACAAAGUCUUCAGAUUCACCAACAAGAUUGUCUUAUGGUUUGGUUCAAGUCAUAUACCGCUAGCCAAAUGGAAAACAUAUGCAUAAGAAAUUGAUUGUAAUGUUACGUCGGCCAAUGAUUGUGGGCAGCCUGGUAGAAAAAUGCGCUCCUCAUAGUAUUCAAUGAUUUUUGUGGACUGACCAUAUGACACUCUCUCCCGCGCUUUCGUUUUCAAUCAGAUCACGAUUAUCAUUUCCAUGUCUACGGUGGGGCUUCCAAAGCUGCGUACGUUGCCAUGGCCUACCUGCAAUUAGCUUAAGUCGACAAUAUUUACAAAUGUUUACUACUUAGAUCGCAGCUCGCCUCUCCAAAAAGAGUUUAUGCCUGGUUUGAAGCUGAUGACUGCCUGCAUACUCCCAUAUCCUUGAGAGGCCGUUGAUUAAGUUAAACCGCAUUCCCCAUAUCUUGAAUCUGACGACUAUUUGCUACUGGUGCAGGAAAAUCUAAGCGGACUCCUGAAAGCCUUUUGCUUACAACCGCACGACUCAACUGCAAAAGCCGUUGUUUGCAAACGAUUGGCAUCAUAUUCCUGGAACGUGCAAUAUAACUGACCUAUUCAUGCGCGGAAUUUCGGUAUAUAAACCCGAGUAUAAUAUCUCGUGGUAGUUCAGACCGUCUUAGCUGUGUUUUGUAAAUCUGAUUGGCCCUGUAAGUUGUUACGCAUUAUGGAUAGCCUUGAAAUUUUCACACUUGUUUAUAAUGUCUCAGUCGCCAUUAUCAUAAAAUUCGAUCGCUUCAGCAGUUGGAAAAGCACUGUUCGUUUCAUCGUCGACGUACUGAAGUUUGUUACCUGCUGCCUCUGUGACUGGCUUCCUACCGGUGCUAAACCGUUACAGAUGCCGAGUCGCAAGGCGUUUAAUGGACACAAGUACACUUCUUUGGCGAUGGAAACCAGCAACCAGACCAUGUAAACAGAAGGCCCACAAAUCGUUACAAAGCUAGUGACAUUCACUUCAUCGAUAAACACGGAUCGCUGAAUACGAAAAUAUGGCUCGUAAAGGGCUCGUACUUCUCUUAAGAAAAGAUAAAAUUUAUAAUAGUCUUAGGCAAAUAUCGUGUACAUUUGCAUUCUCAUGCAAGACCAUUAUUAUACAAUUGCUUCUUUUUAUAUCUAUGUGAUUUUAUCAAUCUUCCAUCGUUACUUGUGGAUCAUUUGGGAUCGUCAAAUCGUCAAAAUCCUACUUCACAGCUUCGUUACCUGCCGCAAAUCUUAUAAAGUCAGUUCCGAUUUCGAUUUCCGGCUAAGCAGGCGAAACACAGUGGCAUAUCCUGGUUAUCUUUUCAUUUUAACAAAAAAAUAAAAAUUUGAUACGUCAUAUAGUACAUUAGAACCGUUGGAUUUUAUCUUACACACAGCACACAAAGCUGGCUAAGGAAACAGAAUAAACUGGCCAUUAUAGCAAUAAACUGAAUGUGUAUACCAUAUUCCUAAACAAAUGACAGACUACUACAUAAAAAUACGCACAGACCGAUUAAUCAAAAAGCGAAUCCUUUCAUAGCCGGGUAAAAUAGCGCAGAUUCUUAGAAAAGAACAAGAGUAUACAAAACGAUCCAAAAAGCGAACCUAUGGUAAAUUUUCACAUUUUCGGCGUGCAAACCCAAAGACGAUUGCAGAGGACCCGAGGAUAAAAACAAUCGAGAAACUAACUAAUACAGGGAACUCCUAGAAAAACCUAGAGUUGUUAUUAAAUAUGAAAUGAUCUAGAAAUAUGUUUGCGAACAUGCCCAGCUGGGACAAAAUUUACAGAUGCUGACAUCGCGAACGCACUAACAUUCAAAAUAUAUCCACCGAAUUCUACGGUUUCACCGGUGAAAGCAAGCGAUGUUAAAUUUAGAACCACAUAAAGAUGGGAGAAGAGGAGAAAACUCACACUAGGUUUUAUUCUAGAUUAUCAGAUUCUGAAAGUAAGCCACGAGAGUGAAAGCAUGAAAACUGAUCAACCAUAUGCUCAGGACGGCCAAGAAAAUUGCCCCGAAAUCCACGAAGAAAAUACCCAGUAAUCUGAUAAACGACGGCGAAGAUAGCGGCAUCAAGGAUAUUUAUGAAUGUAUAUAUUAGCUACAUAAUAACUAAUAUAUACAUUCUAUUACUAUUCGUUAUGCAUAGCUAUAUUAUUAGACAGAGCCUAAUCAUUAUUUUUAUAGUCAUAAAUAAUAAACGUAAUAGGAAGCUGGCAAUAAGCAAAGAAAGCCUUCAAAGAAGCUCCAUCCUAGUUUAGAAUCGCGGGAUGCAUUUAGACAGACAUACUCGAAAAACUAGAGCAGGAGGCUGAUUUGACACAGCACAACGGAGUCGUUAUCAACGUUUUAGGACUAAACAAUGGCUACAUCAGUUGCAAGCUCGGAGAGCGCUCGAGGGGUUCUCUUGAGCUCUUUCGACUACAGGAAGACAAUCGUACAAGUUGAGAUGCGUAGGGAGGCAAUGAUUAAGAAUCAAGGGAAGGGUAUCACCAAAAAAGCCGUAUUUAGAACGAGAGACCGGAUUCCAAGCAUAAAGGGUAAACUUAUUCUAGAUAAACUUAUGACGGGGUCUACCAGAUGACUUCCCAUAACAGUACGAUUUUCAGGCGACGACGCAAUGAAAUAAUUCACAGAAGCUGGCUACCUCUUCAUCAGUUGGACCUCAUAUUUGGUUGUUGAGUGGGUCCUCGCCGUCUCAAGCGCCAAAGAGCGGAUACAAAGCGAAGGAAUGUACAAAUGAUGUAAUUACGGGAAAAAGAUGUCACAGGAGACCUCGACCAAGCUUCUGCAACUUGAGAUCCCUACGCCACGAACACUAGCGACUCCCUAAUCGAGGAUUUGGUGGCAAAACACAAUCUGACUACAACUAACGAUCAAGAAAUACAAACCUUCUACAGUGACCAAGGAAUCCUUCACGUUUACUUCAUAAUUUGUGAGUUUGCACUUGUUCUGGAGAUUGAACGCUUAAGGGUGCUAAAUAAGGAAACGUGAAUAAUCACUGAUGCAUUAAAUACAACAUGCUUAAGGGAGGCUCCACCCCUAGAACGUAAUCGCCCUGUCCUUCAAGAAAUUACACCAAAGAGAGUAAGAAACUAGCACAGCAAUGAGACGGGAAUUAUGACUAGAGGCCCCCGCCAAAUUUGGCAGCCUUGUAUGAACUACUAAAACAACAUUGCGAGCUCAGGCAUCCAAAGGGAAGUAAAUCUCGUAGACGUAGAGAACGUUUGGAGAGGCUGCCUACGAGCUUGCCGCGACCUUAAGCAAGAAAAAGCUAUGCAGACCCAUAUCUGACAAUAAAACUUAUUAGUAGUCUUUCUAAAGAUAAAAACAGCCGAGAAGGAAGGUCUCCUAAAGUGAAAACGGGAAGAACUUUUAACUAAUAUAAAGUAUGGUCCUUGCGGAAGGCCGCACAAGUUGCUGUGGAGCAAAACGAAAGGGAAGGAAAAACACCUUACCUAAAGAAAAAAAAAAGAGUUAUCAUUAAGUUUUUAUCCCCGGCAUAUCAGGCGUUUGAUAGGAUCGAUCAUGAUAACUGAAGCAAGGACCUAGAAACUCAUUCUUGCGGUAACUACUGAUGAUCAUGGCACACAAGGCAAAACCGCGACAGGCUUACGACUUAGAGGCAUGGAUCGUGUCAAGGCAGUAAUAGCUGACGCUAAGAAGGUCAUAGGCAACUGGCUGGAUUACUGUUAAACGUCCACGACCUAAGCAAAGGAAAAAGACGUGUGUCGAUGUUGGUGUUAGAAUCGAUGACAUUUUUGGGAUGCCCGGUCUUGGCGGCACCGAUACGACGAUAGCGAGUUUCAGAAGUCUUGCAUAAGGGAUCCAACGCACACUGAAAAUUACCAGUACUACCACACGAUAGCGACAGUAGCUACUUUGGUGCUCACAGCCACGGCAUUGUGAAACCUUAAGGUUAUUGAUAGGAAAAACUUAUGGUCCAACCCAGAAAGCGAAAAUCAAAUAAAGAGGGAAGUUUUUAUGAUUGUCUUACAGGAGAUAUAGGACACUAACCUAAACGAACAUUUGAGUGCAAUAGGAAAUGUCACCCCUACGAUCAGCGUGUAGACUAGUAGACGCAGGAGGUGAGCUAACGUACUUCUUCACCCAUUUCAUCAAGAUAAUUUUCAGUGCUUAUCACUUACUUUACUUAAUAGUAGACAAUAGCGCGUCACCUGUAUUACUCGAACUCUUCAUUAAAAAAGAAUUCCAUGGAUCCACCUCUAACGAAUAUCCAGGUGUCACCUCGACUCCCUUACGGUGCAUCGAUUUCUCACAUCGAUCUUGGCUUGCACCAACUUGAUCUUUGACAACGGUCCUUCAUUCUCUAAGCUGGCAGUGACGUAAAAUAACCCUUUAACUCGGUGUGCGAUUGUGAGUCUCGGGAGCUGCUGACACAGCAAACGAUUGAACUGACGUUGAGCUGCCUACGUAUAUCUUGGUUAAACGUUUCUAGUAAACCAGUAAAAGUGACAUUUACGAAAGGUUUCAGUUGUAGCUUCGUUAAUUUUGGGGACUGACACAUUAUAGUUGGUGAGCUUGCCGUUCUGGUCAGCAUUGACUACCGAAAUACGUUCGUGAGGCUAUCGACGAACAUUCUACCCUAACGUCAACCCACGUCUUCCACGAAGUAUCGAACAACCCAGCGUUAUGCAUUGUUACGCCACCGAAAUGCCUCGAAACCAACGAGCGGUGCCAGAUAAUGUCAUCCUCUGCGGCUCUACAGCAUACGAACUAUUUACCAUGCUCUGUCUAUACGCCGCUAUGGGAUCAUCUCAGGUCAGCCGCUAACCUCAAAGGGGCUAUGCACAAACCAGAAACAUCAAGCUGAAUAAAAG
rnacentral:lncRNA from 11 species